rnacentral:tRNA from 1 species
UGCAGAGAAGAGCAAUUGGUCGGCUCGUCAGGCUCAUAAUCUGAAGGUUGUAGGUUCAAGUCCUACCUCUGCUC